rnacentral:rRNA from 1 species
AUUGAACGCUGGCGGAAUGCUUUACACAUGCAAGUCGAGCGGCAGCGCGGGGGCAACCCUGGCGGCGAGCGGCGAACGGGUGAGUAACAUAUCGGAAUGUACCCCGUCGUGGGGGAUAACACAGCGAAAGCUGUGCUAAUACCGCAUACGACCUGAGGGUGAAAGCGGGGGAUCGCAAGACCUCGCGCGAUGGGAGCGGCCGAUAUCGGAUUAGCUUGUUGGUGAGGUAAAGGCUCACCAAGGCGACGAUCCGUAGCUGGUCUGAGAGGACGACCAGCCACACUGGAACUGAGACACGGUCCAGACUCCUACGGGAGGCAGCAGUGGGGAAUAUUGGACAAUGGGCGCAAGCCUGAUCCAGCAAUGCCGCGUGUGUGAAGAAGGCCUUCGGGUUGGUUAAAGGCACUUUUCUUGGGAGAAGAGACAAGGACGGUAUCCCAGGAAUAAGUACUCGGCUAACUACGUGCCAGCAGCCGCGGUAAU